AAGUAGAACGCUGAAGGAGGAGCUUGCUCUUCUGGAUGAGUUGCGAACGGGUGAGUAACGCGUAGGUAACCUGCCUCUUAGCGGGGGAUAACUAUUGGAAACGAUAGCUAAUACCGCAUAAACGUCGACAUUGCAUGAUGUUGACUUGAAAGGUGCAACUGCAUCACUAAGAGAUGGACCUGCGUUGUAUUAGCUAGUUGGUGAGGUAACGGCUCACCAAGGCGACGAUACAUAGCCGACCUGAGAGGGUGAUCGGCCACACUGGGACUGAGACACGGCCCAGAUUCCUACGGGAGGCAGCAGUAGGGAAUCUUCGGCAAUGGACGGAAGUCUGACCGAGCAACGCCGCGUGAGUGAAGAAGGUUUUCGGAUCGUAAAGCUCUGUUGUAAGAGAAGAACGAGUGUGAGAGUGGAAAGUUCACACUGUGACGGUAACUUACCAGAAAGGGACGGCUAACUACGUGCCAGCAGCCGCGGUAAUACGUAGGUCCCGAGCGUUAUCCGGAUUUAUUGGGCGUAAAGCGAGCGCAGGCGGUUAGAUAAGUCUGAAGUUAAAGGCUGUGGCUUAACCAUAGUACGCUUUGGAAACUGUUUAACUUGAGUGCAGAAGGGGAGAGUGGAAUUCCAUGUGUAGCGGUGAAAUGCGUAGAUAUAUGGAGGAACACCGGUGGCGAAAGCGGCUCUCUGGUCUGUAACUGACGCUGAGGCU
rnacentral:rRNA from 1 species